rnacentral:other from 1 species
UGAGCCCUGCCGCGUUCGCGAGGCUGGCGUAUUCUUUGAACCGAUGCGCUUGUCGCAUGGCAGCAGUCAUCAACGGUGGGUGUGCGCGUGGCCUGGUCCAUGUACCCGAAACCGAUGUGCUGCAGCCGUCUUGAACCACUGGGUUCAGGAUUUGCCUGCCGGACGGCGUACGCGGGGCUCUC